rnacentral:rRNA from 1 species
AGAGUUUGAUCAUGGCUCAGGACGAACGCUGGCGGCGUGCUUAACACAUGCAAGUCACGGGGGUCCCGCAAGGGAUAACCGGCGAACGGGUGCGUAACACGUGAACAACCUGCCCUCGUGUGGGGGAUAGCCGGGCUAACGCCCGGGUAAUACCGCAUACGUUCUCUUUGGGGAGUCCUGAGGAGAGGAAAGCUCCGGCGCACGGGGAGGGGUUCGCGGCCUAUCAGCUAGUUGGCGGGGUAACGGCCCACCAAGGCGACGACGGGUAGCUGGUCUGAGAGGAUGGCCAGCCACAUUGGGACUGAGAGACGGCCCAGACUCCUACGGGAGGCAGCAGUGGGGAAUCUUGCGCAAUGGUCGAAAGACUGACGCAGCGACGCCGCGUGUGGGAGGACGCCUUUCGGGGUGUAAACCACUGUUGCCCGGGACGAACGCCCUGUUUCGACAGGGGUGACGGUACCGGGUGAGGAAGCACCGGCUAACUCCGUGCCAGCAGCCGCGGUAAUACGGAGGGUGCGAGCGUUGUCCGGAAUCAUUGGGCGUAAAGGGC